GAAAACUUGGAAAAGUGAGUGGUCUGCGGGAAGGUCGAUGAGCAGGCGGUGCCGGCAGUGUUGCUCUUGGAGUCAGACCCUGCGAAGGGAGGGAGAAACAACUACAAAUAAUGCAAAACAAGAAGCGACCCGUCAGUUACCUCAGAAAGUGGUUUACAGUGAUACCGGUGAUGAGUUGUCAAUUUCUUCCCGCGCCUUUGUGCUUCUAUUGCACGCUCAUCCAAGAAUGGAAAACAUGGCGUACCAGACCCUCGCCAGACAACAGGGCUUUUCAUUGGCAAAGCAUUGUUAAAAGUAAAUAAAGGAUGUUUUAUUCUCUCUUAUAACACUGAAUAUGUGCUGAACAAAAUUAAUAGAUUACAAAUACAAUAAAUAAUGUGCUGUUAGCGUA